GAUGAACGCUAGCGGCAGGCUUAAUACAUGCAAGUCGAGGGGCAGCAGGGGUAGCAAUACCCGCUGGCGACCGGCAAACGGGUGCGGAACACGUACGCAAUCUACCCAAAACUGAUGAAUAGCCCUCCGAAAGGAGGAUUAAUACAUCGUAACAUUAUAGAGUGGCAUCACUUUAUGAUUAUAGCUCCGGCGGUUUUGGAUGAGCGUGCGGCUGAUUAGGAGUUGGCAGGGUAACGGCCUACCAAGCCUACGAUCAGUAACUGGUGUGAGAGCACGACCAGUCACACGGGCACUGAGACACGGGCCCGACUCCUACGGGAGGCAGCAGUAAGGAAUAUUGGACAAUGGGGAAACCCUGAUCCAGCAAUGCCGCGUGAGUGAUGAAGGCCUUAGGGUUGUAAAGCUCUUUCGGCGGGGACGAUGAUGACGGUACCCGCAGAAGAAGCCCGGCUAACUUCGUGCCAGCCGCCGCAGU
rnacentral:rRNA from 1 species